rnacentral:tRNA from 2 species
GUCCCCGUGGCCCAAAGGCAGAGGCGGACCCCUUAAAAGGGUCUAGUUGUCGGUUCGAGUCCGACCGGGGAUACCA